rnacentral:tRNA from 1 species
GUUUAUAUAGUUUAAAAAAAAAACUUUGAUUUUGUAAUUCAAAAAUACAUAUUGUUAUAAACA